rnacentral:rRNA from 1 species
UACGAAGGGGGCUAGCGUUGCUCGGAAUCACUGGGCGUAAAGCGCACGUAGGCGGCUUCUUAAGUCAGGGGUGAAAUCCUGGAGCUCAACUCCAGAACUGCCUUUGAUACUGAGGAGCUUGAGUCCGGGAGAGGUGAGUGGAACUGCGAGUGUAGAGGUGAAAUUCGUAGAUAUUCGCAAGAACACCAGUGGCGAAGGCGGCUCACUGGCCCGUAACUGACGCUGAGGCACGAAAGCGUGGGGAGCAAACAGG